AGGCUGUGACAGGAAGAACAUGGCUGGGGAGGCCUCAGGAAACUUACAAUCGUGGCGGAAGAUAAAGGGGAAGCAAACUUGCACCUUCUCACAUGGCAGCAGGAGAGAGAGUAUGUGUGUGAAGGAAGUACUGUCAAACUGUUAGAAAACCAUCAUAUCUUAUGAGACUUACUGUCACAAGAACUGCAUGAGGAAAACCGCCCCAUGAUCCAGUCACUUCCCACCAGGGUCCUCCAUCAACACCUGGGGAUUAUGACUGGAGA